CCCCAUGGACUGAAGCCCCCCACCCCCGCCCCGCUCCUCUGUCCAAGGGAUUCUUCAGGCAAGGUUACUGGAGUGGGCUGCCCUGCCCUCCUGCGGGGGGAAAUCUUCCUGACCCAGGAUCGAACCUGCGUCUCCUGCCUGGCAGGGGGGUUCUUUCCCCCCUGAGCCAGCGGGGAAGCCCCUCGGAAUCUUUCCGGGCCUUCUGUUCUCUGCAGGCUGGCAGAGCAGCACCCGCCUCCUGGGCGACCGAGGUAACAGAGCGGGGGCGCUGUGCCUUGUGGUGGGAGAGAGCUGGGCUGGAGGGGCAGGUGGGAGCAGGAAGCCCGCUCGCGAAGCGCAGGCAGCGGGCGGCAAAGGGGGGCGGGGGAGUGUGAACGCGGAGGCGGGAGAGCCCGGAGGCCUGGGGUCGGCUGAGAGGAGGGCGGGCGGCGUGCGGACGGGCUGGGGACUGAAGCUGGGGCGGCGGUCGAGGGCAGAACGGCCACGGAGCUGGAUGCAGAGAAUGCUGGGGACGCCCCAGACGCCUGUCUUGAUGCGUUAAGUCCAGCAGGUCCACGGACACAAAGACCACGGGGGCGCUGGGGGCGGGGGCGCU
rnacentral:lncRNA from 1 species